AACGAACGCUGGCGGCAUGCCUAACACAUGCAAGUCGAACGAGACCUUCGGGUCUAGUGGCGCACGGGUGCGUAACGCGUGGGAAUCUGCCCUUGGGUUCGGAAUAACAGUGAGAAAUUACUGCUAAUACCGGAUGAUGUCUUCGGACCAAAGAUUUAUUGCCCAAGGAUGAGCCCGCGUAGGAUUAGCUAGUUGGUGGGGUAAUGGCCUACCAAGGCGACGAUCCUUAGCUGGUCUGAGAGGAUGAUCAGCCACACUGGGACUGAGACACGGCCCAGACUCCUACGGGAGGCAGCAGUGGGGAAUAUUGGACAAUGGGCGAAAGCCUGAUCCAGCAAUGCCGCGUGAGUGAUGAAGGCCUUAGGGUUGUAAAGCUCUUUUACCAGGGAUGAUAAUGACAGUACCCGGAGAAUAAGCUCCGGCUAACUCCGUGCCAGCCGCCGCGGUAAAAC
rnacentral:rRNA from 1 species